ensembl:miRNA gga-mir-1747 gga-mir-1747
CCAGGGUGCUGUGCACUUGAAUGGAGUUCUGGGUGUUCUCAUGGAUCCUGAAUCCCUUCAAGUGGACAAAACGUUGG